CGAAUCCCAAAAAACCACCUCAGUUCAGAUUGUCCUCUGCAACUCGAGGGCAUGAAGUUGGAAUCGCUAGUAAUCGUAGAUCAGCAUGCUACGGUGAAUACGUUCUCGGGUCUUGUACACACUGCCCGUCACACCAUGGGAAUUGGA
rnacentral:rRNA from 1 species